GAUGAACGCUAGCGGCAGGCCUAAUACAUGCAAGUCGAACGGUCCACUUCGGUGGAUAGUGGCGCACGGGUGCGUAACACGUAUGCAACCUACCUUACAUUGGGGGAUAGCCUUUCGAAAGGGAGAUUAAUACCGCAUAAGACAGUAACAUGGCAUCAUGUAGCUGUUAAAGAUUUAUCGAUGUAAGCUGGGCAUGCGUCCAAUUAGUUAGUUGGUGAGGUAAUGGCUCACCAAGACGAUGAUUGGUAGGGGAACUGAGAGGUCAAUCCCCCACACUGGCACUGAGAUACGGGCCAGACUACUACGGGAGGAAGCAGUAGGGAAUAUUGGGCAAUGGUCGCAAGUCUGAACCAGCCAUGCCGAGUGCAGGAAGAAGGCGUUCUGCGUUGUAAACUGCUUUUAUAUAGGAAGAAACGACCCUUGCGAGGGGCAUUGACGGUAUUAUAUGAAUAAGCACCGGCUAACUCCGUGCCAGCAGCCGCAGUAAAAC
rnacentral:rRNA from 1 species